rnacentral:rRNA from 1 species
GACGAACGCUGGCGGCGUGCUUAACACAUGCAAGUCGAACGGAAAGGCCCUGCUUUUGUGGGGUGCUCGAGUGGCGAACGGGUGAGUAACACGUGAGUAACCUGCCCUUGACUUUGGGAUAACUUCAGGAAACUGGGGCUAAUACCGGAUAGGAGCUCCUGCUGCAUGGUGGGGGUUGGAAAGUUUCGGCGGUUGGGGAUGGACUCGCGGCUUAUCAGCUUGUUGGUGGGGUAGUGGCUUACCAAGGCUUUGACGGGUAGCCGGCCUGAGAGGGUGACCGGCCACAUUGGGACUGAGAUACGGCCCAGACUCCUACGGGAGGCAGCAGUGGGGAAUAUUGCACCAUGGGCGGAAGCCUGAUGCAGCAACGCCGCGUGCGGGAUGACGGCCUUCGGGUUGUAAACCGCUUUCGCCUGUGACGAAGCGUGAGUGACGGUAAUGGGUAAAGAAGCACCGGCUAACUACGUGC